rnacentral:rRNA from 1 species
UACAGAGGGUGCAAGCGUUGUUCGGAAUUAUUGGGCGUAAAGCGCGUGUAGGCGGCUUUGCAAGUCGGGUGUGAAAGCCCUCAGCUCAACUGAGGAAGUGCGCCCGAAACUGCAUGGCUUGAGUACCGGAGAGGAUGGUGGAAUUCCCCAAGUAGAGGUGAAAUUCGUAGAUAUGGGGAGGAACACCGGUGGCGAAGGCGACCAUCUGGACGGAUACUGACGCUGAGACGCGAAAGCGUGGGUGAGCAAACAGG